ACCACACCAAGUAUGUUUUUUCUCAUAAAUCAUGACAUGUUAAGUACACAAGAAACUUUAACAAGGGUGAUUUCAAAGGAAAUGUGUAACUUCAUCUCUUCCAGUUGUUACAAUGUUUCAGGUUUAGGUCCAAUACAAGCCAACCAGACUAAAACCUGUUUCUUGUAUGCAGAUAAGUUGAGCUAGUUCAACAGUCAGGUUUAGGUCCAAUACAAGCCAACCAGACUAAGACCUGCUUCUUGUAUGCAGAUAAGUUGAGCUAGUUCAACAGUCAGGUUUAGGUCCAAUACAAGCCAACCAGACUAAGACCUGCUUCUUGUAUGCAGAUAAGUUGAGCUAGUUCAACAGUCAGCAUGUCCUGAUAAGAUUCAAACAUAUUCUUAAACAAUAAAAAUAAACAGUAAAGAAAAAACACUAAUACUGCCAUAAAUUCUUAAUUUGUCUUAAAAUAUUACACAUACUUUAACAGAACACUUCUGAUGAUGUGAGCAAGAUAGAAACGAACAGUGCUCGUAUUCCUAUAUGUGACCGUGUUUCUAAACGUUCUCUAUCUCAACACAUACAUCAGUAUGUUUGAAAGUAACUUCAUUACACAUUCCCAUCUUCAGUAUUCAUUUGAAGUUAUUAUAUUGCACAAAAUCAAACGACAAUCG